GAAGACUAUUUGAGGGGGAGAGGAAUAAAAACAUUGGAGAGAGAGUGAGCUGUUUGAGCAAAGAAAAAGACAGAAGAUGAGACUAAGAGCUAUAUAAAAAACAUUUGUACUGGUUAUUAGAAUUGAAGAUGAGAACGAGCAGAGAGAAUAGAAAGCUAGAAGAGCAGAAAAAAGAGAGAGGCGGAGAGGAGAAAAGAGGUGAGGCCAACAAUGUCAAGAAGAGACCAAAAAAAAAAAUGAAUGAAUGGGUGGCGGGAAAAGACGACAAGAGAGAGCUGAAUAACACCGCUGUGGGAAUUUACGAUAACCUCUGCCAAUUGAUAAAGAUUGUUCAAUUUCUUCCCUUCCCUUCGUCACUUCCAACAAGCACGGUGCAAAGGGUAAAAAUCAGGGGGAAAAAGCCCACCUCUCACCACUCGUGCCGCAACAACGGUAAAGAAGGGCUGGCGGGAUUGAUUUAACAAUGGGUGGAUGAUUCCUUUUGCUGAUUCACAACCGUUUGAAUAUACACAAUCUCACUUUACACCCACUGUCUCCCUCUCUUGCCCUUUGGAGAUAUCGAUGGUCACUACAGUAACAUGGGGCGGUAGGUAGCCUAGUGGUUAUAGCGUUGGGCCAGUUACCGAAAGGUUGCUUGAUCGAAUCCCUGAGCUAACAAGCUAAAAAUCUGCCCCUGAACAAGGCAGUUAACCUACUGUUCUCCGAUAGGCCUUCCUGUUUUAUACAGACUGCAUUAUUUUAACUGACUUGCCUGGUAAAUAAAAAAAGUGACAUGUUGGUCGCAACAAUUGAUAACCGUUAACACAAUAAAAAAAAGUACUGAAUCAGAAGUGUCUGUACCUUUUCAUACAGUAGAAUUCUGCCCCGGCAUAGAAUGUUCGGUAUUGUUUUCCUGACAACAAUACACACGAUCGAUGGCUGUGCUGUUCUUUGAUGGUAGGGUGUUUUCAUUCUACGAAAUGUCUUGGUAAGUAAAGGCAUUUAAUGAACUUUAACCUACUUUUUAAGGAGAAAGAGGCCUGCGCACAGGCAGCUCAAGAUAAUUUGAUAGUUCUGGUCUCCCAGUGUACGUUAGUCCUGCUUCAGAAGCGGCAUUGCUUUACAGACAAGUAAAAUACCUUUGAAACUAUCUCCAGAGAAGCUUUUGUGCUGGCAUUUAAAUGCCAUAGUGUACAGACAAACAAACAUACCGUAGCCAAGGUGUUUUCAAGGUGGCACAUUCCAUGUCUGAUCUGUGUUAAUCUGCAAAAUUGUAAUUAUUCGCCUACCUCCUCAUGCCUUUUGCACACAAUGUAUAUAGACUCUUUUUUUUAAAUGUAUUUCUACUGUGUUAUUGACUUGUUAAUUGUUUACUCCAUGUGUAACUCUGUGUUGUUGUCUGUUCACACUGCUAUGCUUUAUCUUGGCCAGGUCGCAGUUGUAAAUGAGAACUUGUUCUCAACUAGCCUACCUGGUUAAAUAAAGCUGAAAUAAAAUUUUAAAAAGUGUAUCUUUGCAGCUGGGAUAAAGAGUUUAGCUAAGAUCCUGAAGCCCCUAAAGAGCAGAAAGUAACCAGUCGAGGUGAGUGGAAAGGUGACCGGAAAACAUGCUGGAAACCUUUAGAACACACAGAGAAUGUUACAUUCAUACAGUUGAAGUCUGUUAUUCACUGUCAAAUUACUUCUAAUGCUCUCCUCUCUCUUUCAGAUAAUUACAUUUAGU